CAAAGGCUUGGUCCUGACCUUACUGUCAACUUUAGCUAAACUUACACAUGCAAGUCUCUGCCCCCCCGUGAGAAUGCCCUACAGUUCCUCUUCCAGGAACAAGGAGCGGGUAUCAGGCACACCCAGCGUAGCCCAUAACACCUUGCUUAGCCACACCCCCAAGGGACCACAGCAGUGAUAAAUAUUAAGCAAUAAGUGAAAACUUGACUUAGUUAAAGCUUAGAGGGCCGGUAAAACUCGUGCCAGCCACCGCGGUUAUACGAGAGGCCCAAGCUGACAGCCCUUCGGCGUAAAGCGUGGUUAGAAAAAAGAUAAACUAAAGCCGAAUGCUCCCUAAGCUGUUAUACGCUCUCGAGAGUUAGAAGUCCUUUUUCGAAAGUAGCUUUAUUAUAUUGAAUCCACGAAAGCUAAGACACAAACUGGGAUUAGAUACCCCACUAUGCUUAGCCUUAAACUUAGAUAAUAUUAUUACACCCAUUAUCCGCCCGGGUACUACGAGCACUAGCUUAAAACCCAAAGGACUUGGCGGUGCUUAAUAACCCCCUAGAGGAGCCUGUUCUAGAACCGAUAACCCUCGUUAAACCUCACCCCUUUUUGCCUAUUCCGCCUAUAUACCGCCGUCGUCAGCUUACCCUGUGAAGGACUUAUAGUAAGCAUAAUUAGUUUAAACCCAAAACGUCAGGUCGAGGUGUAGCAAAUGAAGGGGGAAGAAAUGGGCUACAUUUCCUGCAAUCAGGACACACGGAAAGUGCUCUGAAAAAGGCACUAAAAGGAGGAUUUAGUAGUAAGUGAAGAUCAGACUGCCCCACUGAAACCGGCCCUUAAGCGCGCACACACCGCCCGUCACUCUCCCCAAGCGAAACAUCACUAUAAAUAAUUAAAUUAAACAGCAAAGGGGAGGCAAGUCGUAACAUGGUAAGUGUACCGGAAGGUGCACUUGGUCAAAC
rnacentral:ncRNA from 1 species